rnacentral:rRNA from 1 species
UGCCAGACUCCUACGGGAGGCAGCAGUAGGGAAUCUUUCACAAUGGGCGAAAGCCUGAUGGAGCAACGCCGCGUGCAGGAUGAAGGCCUUCGGGUUGUAAACUGCUUUUAUAAGCGAGAAAUAUGAUGGUAACUUAUGAAUAAGGAUCGGCUAACUACGUGCCAGCAGCCGCGGUAAUACGUAUGGUGCAAGCGUUAUCCGGAUUUACUGGGUGUAAAGGGAGCGCAGGCGGCGCGUUAAGCCUGGUGUGAAAGCCCGCGGCCCAACCGCGGGACUGCAUUGGGAACUGGCGCGCUGGAGUGCCGGAGGGGUAGGCGGAAUUCCUAGUGUAGCGGUGAAAUGCGUAGAUAUUAGGAGGAACACCAGUGGCGAAGGCGGCCUACUGGACGGUGACUGACGCUGAGGCUCGAAAGCGUGGGGAGCAAACAGGAUUAGAUACCCUAGUA